ACACGGGGCCGGGCACACAGGGCUGAACCAGAGACUGAGCCAGAGGAGGCACCCGACGCAGGCUCCGGGCUGGGAGGUCUUAAAGAUCCUCAGGGGUCAGCGAGUUCCACGCAGACAGGCAUGUGUACCAGCAUGGCAUUUGGCGAGCAUGUGUUGGAUGAAUGAAGCUCAGAGACGUGCAGCAACCUGUUCAAGGUCACACAGCAAGUAGGGGAGAGGAAGGUCGGAACCCAGGGCUGUCUGGGACUGUUGUGGAAGGCAAGUUCCUAAAAGAUCCCACUUGAUGUUGGAGAGGAAGACGGACACGGAUAAUCAUAGACGAAUAAAGUUUGGAAGCAUUUUAUCAUUUUGCCUUUACGAAAGAAAAAAAAAAAAAAAAAAGCAAUAAAAAACAGCCUGUGGCGUUGGAGUGGAAUUAUCUGUAUCACAAACUGAUUGAGGGCCCGCCCACCCUGGGGACUGCGCCACCUUGUUUGUGCUCUGUCCUGCCUCAGAUGUGGCCCCAAAACCUGGAAGGUUGCAUGGCUUGCAGGAAUUGUUCGACGCACAUCUGAAUAUGUGACCAGACAUACACAGUCCUGCAGUCCUGAGCCAGGAGACAGCGCAGGGACUGUCCCCACCCCACUGUGGUUAUAGCUGGAAGAGCCGAGGCAGAAUGCUCUGGAGUCGUGGGGGUGCACGGUGAGCCAUGGGGGACCCCAUGGGGCCUGGGGCUGCCGUGCUCCAGAGAAAGCCCA